CAUUGACGGGGGCCCGCACAAGCGGCGGAGCAUGCGGCUUAAUUCGAUGCGACGCGAAGAACCUUACCAGGGCUUGACAUGCACAGUGCCGCGCCAGAGAUGGCGCUUCCUUUGGGGUUGUGCACAGGUGGUGCAUGGUUGUCGUCAGCUCGUGUCGUGAGAUGUUGGGUUAAGUCCCGCAACGAGCGCAACCCUCGUCCUGUAUUGCCAGCAACACU
rnacentral:rRNA from 1 species